UUGAAACAACCGUCAGAGGCCCAAGCCCAUGAACCAGACCCACCUCUUUUCAAACCAGAUGACCUAGUGCUAAUAAAGUGAAGGUCACUGGAAUAGACUCUUGGAUUCAUUAUAGCCAAGUAAAGGCCUGGGAAGCCAGCGAAGUCAUCUCCAUUGACCCAGAAGAACACUCAAAGUACCAAUGUGAAGAGAUCAGGGACCUCAAGUUAAAAAAUCACAUUUUAACUGCGACAAACAGCCGAUAUUUCAAGUCAACAGAAAUAUCAAACCAAAAGGGACCGAUUCCUCAUUAGGAAGACAACCCAAGCCAUGAUGGGAAUUUUAACCACCAAACUACAAAAUGGACUAGCCUCCAUGUUAAUCCUGCAUGGAGUUCAAAGUGGGGAGUUUCAGUGUAACUGUUUUAGGUCAGAUUUUUGCUCUUUGACUUAGUCAAGAUGAUUUUUAAGGCUAGCCAUGAAACUAUUAUAUCUCCUUAUUUUAAUUUGA